CACAUUUUUAACAAACCAGUAAAUUUACAAAUACUAAAUGCAGUGCCGCGGUUUUGGAUAAUCUUUCAUUAUCAGAUACAGCAGAUCCAACGGAUGCGGCAGCGGGCGGAGUAUAGAGGGCACAGAUAAAGAGCUGCUGAACUGUUGCUUCCUGCCGCAUAAAAUAAUCCCGUCACCGAUCAUACACCUACAGAACAUCAGAUUACUUCAAGUAAACCCGAGAAUGAUCCCGCCCACACCAGCGUACUGUAUACCCCACCAGAAUUGUUCGAAAUAAAUUCGAUAUCUUCAACAAUGCGUCUGGUCGAAAUUGAAUCAAUAUAAAAGGAAUAAAUAUCGGUGGCAUACGAGGGUACGAGUUCGUUUCGGCCGGGUAUGGUAGUCAAUGUCUUAUUAUGAUUGUGAUAAAGACUGAUAAAUCAGUCUUUGAUUGUGAUGCUUUUAAGGAAGAGGCAUUUACGAUUAACUACAUUAUUGUGAGGUAAACGCUGAACGUCGUCAGAUGCGUUUAAGAGUUCGUAUACCUCUGACCGAGGCUCUGACUGCGAUAUCGAUACCGGUGUGAUUUUCUUUUUUGGAGUCAUUCGACACCAGGUUAGAGAGUGCACCAGGUUUCUCUUCCCAGCUAAAGUAGGACCAUCUGAUGGUCCCCAAUAAUCACCAAGAAGGCCAUCGGAUUACGUCACCAAUGCAUGCGAGAUGUUUCGAUUGGUUAGCUUUCAAGAAUAGGUCCCAACGCAACCCUUAUACAUAUGGAGAAACACAGAGUGAACCGAGGGCCACUUUGCAGCGCAAGUACGGAAGCAAGUUAGGCGAUAAAAUUUAUCAAGGCAAAAAUUCAGCGAUUUAUGGAGCAAUUUUCGGAGGAGUUUCACAAACGACUAAGUAGUGAUGAUACCGGACAAAAUUGCUGGUCAUAUCGCAUAAGGCGCCGAUAAAAACAGCAAAGCUAAUGGAUUUCGCUUCAUCAAAAUAAACUAGUAAAAAAGUGUUUUGGAAAUUAGCAGAAGAUUUUUUCUGACAGUAUCAAUCGAACACCAAGUAUUAAUCGCAGCUCAACCUGCAGUAAACUGGUAUUUAGCAUUACCACCAGCAGCUUUUUCACGAUGAGCACGAAAAGUUCAAUCAGCAGUAAUGUUACCACCAAAAUUGCAUUGUCAUUUUAUUGGUCAAAACGAACUAUUAUAGCAGGAUUCUUGUUCGAAUUUGUAAAUAUGUUAAAUGGUAAUGAUGAUAAAUAAAGAAAGUACUGCCACCUGCUUUUAUUCACUAAAACAACUUUAUUUUAUUUUUACUGAAAUAAAUAAUUCAUUGAUAAGAAUAUAUAUUGAAAUCGUAAGAAUUUCAUUAAUCCAACUUAUGAAAUUUCUUAAGGUUGCGUUAUGAAAUUAGUAAGGUAAACAUAAGAUAAACAUAUAUGCUUAUUAUGGAUCACGUUCAUCCAAAGUUCAUGCUGGUUCAUAAGGCUGCCUUAUGAAUUCCAAGCCGAUUCCUUGUGGCUAAUUUUCAUAAGGCAAACUUAUAAACUUCGGAAGGUAUUUUACGUG